CGUGUCGUGAGAUGUUGGGUUAAGUCCCGCAACGAGCGCAACCCUUGCCAUUAGUUGCUACAUUCAGUUGGGCACUCUAAUGGGACUGCCGGUGACAAACCGGAGGAAGGUGGGGAUGACGUCAAGUCCUCAUGGCCCUUAUGGGAAGGGCUUCACACGUAAUACAAUGGUAGGUACAGAGGGCAGCCAACCCGCGAGGGGGAGCUAAUCCCAGAAAGCCUAUCGUAGUCCGGAUUGUAGUCUGCAACUCGACUACAUGAAGCCGGAAUCGCUAGUAAUCGCGGAUCAGCAUGUCGCGGUGAAUACGUUCCCGGGUCUU
rnacentral:rRNA from 1 species